GUCCUGUUUCCCCCACCACCAAUGUCUGGGUUCCUCUGUCACUUUAACUUCCAAAAGUCAAUGUCCUACCCUCUCGGCAUGACCCAUCAUUCAUGCGAUGGAGGCAACACAGGGUCAACAGUUGACGUUGCAUCUCCAAUGUGCAGCUCCCUGGACUUCAAGCUCCAACCUACCUUGGGUUGGUGUUGCUGCCUCCUCUUCUUCCUCCUCCUCCUCUUCCCCUUCCUCCUCCUCCCUUCCUUCCCCCGCCCCUCCUCCUCCAUAGCACAGAGGGGCC